rnacentral:lncRNA from 1 species
UUUUCUUUGCAGAAGACACACAGUGUCUAUUCUUUCAGUCUACCUUCAUUUUCAGGACAUAUUUAGUUACAUCUUUCUAUUUAGUGAUUGUGUGGCUUCGAUUUAUCAAUCACUGCUCCACAGGAUUUAUUCUUGUCUUUUUUCCUGUCUUUCUUGGAAGGAGCUGAAUUGAUAUAAUCAUUUGUCAUUAUCUAUUUGACAUACAGAAUAGAAACAACUUAUACUGUUUGUAAUUCUAACCCAUUAAAUAAGAUACUACUAAAAACUCACCUCUUAAUUUUUCUCCUUGUGAGGUAAUUCAUGGAAAUAUAAAUCAUGCAAACAAAUUCAAAAUAUAACAAAAUGAAUUUUUAUUUCAUAAAAUGUUAGUUUUUUCAAAGUACUCUAAACUACAGAGGGAUAAAUAUUUGUUUUUGGUUAUUUUAGUUAAGAAAAUAGUCUGCUAAAUGUCCUACUAUUUAUAUAAUUAACUAGAGGUAUGGGGAGAGUAACAUUUUGGGCCAUCUCUGUCAUCUUUCAUAGCCUUCACCCCAUGAAGAAGAUGGAGAUUAGUAAAUGGCAGAUUGGGGUUUGAAUGUACAUCUGAAUGAUUCCAAAACCUGUGCUCUCAGUGUUAGAUCAAGCAGUGAUGGUGAAUAUUAUUUUAUCAGAUUGAUACUUGUGAUUCUUAAAGCUAUUAUUUUUUUUUCUAGAAGGUCCCCCAAAUAAACCUAACUGAGCGCUGGGCUGCUCCUCGGCAAUCCAGGAAAAAUACAAAAUAUGGCAUUGGGGAACCAGGAAACAGAACCGUGCUUGAUGACACUAUUUCUGAUCGUGAGAACAAAGAUGUGGUUGAAACCCUUUCUAAAACAUCACUCAAAAUCCAGAGCUUUUCUCAGUCUUCCUUUUCAUCAUCAGCACCUGACCCAAAGAGUAUCUUUGAGAAUCUUCCACAGAAGUCUGUUGAUCAUUUAUCUGGGGCUGCAGAUGAAAAAGGAAAACAUACCAGAAAUAUACAAGUAGAAGAUGUGAUUUAUAUAUCUUCUUGCAUAAGUGGAUCAAGAAACUUUAAGAUGGCUAAACUGGAGGAUACAGGAAAUGUAGGCAUACCAGUAGCCCACAAAAAAUCACCUGAGAAAUGUCUUCACCUGAAGCCCACCACUGAAAUGAAAGAUUCUGUUCUGAAUAAAGCAGUAGCAGUGGAGGAUUUACAGACAUGCAAAUCAGAUUUUUCUGAUUGGAGUUCUACGAGUUUGAACCUCUCUGAUAAGACUUGUCAGAGAUCGGCAAAUUUGAAAGAUGAUGACAAAUAACCACUUACAACACGAUCAGUGACUAAAAAUCUGUCACCAUCCACAGAAUUCGGUAAGACAAACUUAAUAAGUAAGAAGAAGAUGAAUAUUGGAAUGUGUUUCUGUUAAGGAAUUGUACACCAUGUUGUGUGAAUCACAGCAAUCAAAAAAACAGCAUAAAGAAAGUAAUAAAGAAGCCCAGAGAAUUCAACCCGGAGGACCUCUGCAUGAUUUUAUAAUACCAUAGUUCUUACUUUGUAGAAAUCAUUUGGUGGUAGAAUUGGCUUUGUGUGUUAUUCUUCCUAAGCAACCAACAACCAAACAGUAUGUUUUCACAAAGCAGCUGUAUUCAUUCUCUAACCAAAGCAAGGUACAAAUAAUAAGGAAAAUUAGGAGACAGAGUAGUUUUGUUCAGACAAGUAUUUAGCAUAAACUUGAGAGUGGGUGCCAAGACUCUUAGAGCUUCAAGAGUUGAUGGAAAAACUAAGUAGAGAUCUACAGAUUGCUACUCAGACAAAACACUUCUUUAUUUUUACAUCUCUGAACUCACAAGUAUUUUUUAUAACUAUGUAUAAGUCAAAAGAACCUUCCAUAACCAUGUAUUUAAUUAUUUCUAACAAUUUUUGUGUUUGUAUAGAUUAAUUUUCACAAUAUUAAUGGAAAUCAUUGAGAAUUUCCUAUAUAGGAUCUCCUCAGUCAUGUCCUCAUGAGUCAGUAGUACGCAAGGAGUGUUGGUGUAGGAGUAUUGUAUCAUUUAAAAGUAAUAUAGGGCCGUGGAUUUAGCUCAGUGGUGCCGCACCUGCCUCUCAAGUCCAAGGUCCUGAGUUCAAUCCCCGGUACCAGAAGAAAUUAAAAAAAAUUAAAAAAUAAAAGUAAUAAUGAAAAUCUAGCCAGGCACAGUGUAUAUGCUUUUAGCUCCAGCUAUUUGAAAGGCUGAGGCAGAGAGAUCACUUGUGCCCAGGAGUUUAAUGCCAUCAUAGGCUCUUUUUUUUUUUUUCUUUGGUACCGGGAAUCGAACCCAGGUCCUUAGCUUUUGAGGCAGGUGGUGGAACUACUGAGCUAAAUCCCCGGCCCCCAUCAUAGGCUCUUAAUAAA